AAAGAUUUAUCGCCAUUGGAGCGGCCCGCGUCUGAUUAGCUAGUUGGUGAGGUAAAGGCUCACCAAGGCGACGAUCAGUAGCUGGUCUGAGAGGAUGAUCAGCCACAUUGGGACUGAGACACGGCCCAAACUCUACGGGAGGCAGCAGUGGGGAAUCUUGCGCAAUGGGCGAAAGCCUGACGCAGCCAUGCCGCGUGAAUGAUGAAGGUCUUAGGAUUGUAAAAUUCUUUCACCGGGGACGAUAAUGACGGUACCCGGAGAAGAAGCCCCGGCUAACUUCGUGCCAGCAGCCGCGGUAAUACGAAGGGGGCUAGCGUUGCUCGGAAUUACUGGGCGUAAAGGGAGCGUAGGCGGACAUUUAAGUCAGGGGUGAAAUCCCGGGGCUCAACCUCGGAAUUGCCUUUGAUACUGGGUGUCUUGAGUAUGAGAGAGGUGUGUGGAACUCCGAGUGUAGAGGUGAAAUUCGUAGAUAUUCGGAAGAACACCAGUGGCGAAGGCGACACACUGGCUCAUUACUGACGCUGAGGCUCGAAAGCGUGGGGAGCAAACAGGAUUAGAUACCCUGGUAGUCCACGCCGUAAACGAUGAUUGCUAGUUGUCGGGAUGCAUGCAUUUCGGUGACGCAGUAACGCAUUAAGCAAU
rnacentral:rRNA from 1 species